CUAAAAACAAGAAGUUAUACACCAAGGACCUGUCUGGUUACAACCUGUUCUGCAGGGAUCAGUUAAAGAACAAGGACCCCGGGAGGAAAAUUAGGACACCAACUGUGGAAGACAUUUUGAAUGCAAUGUGUGCAAAUGAUGAGCGGAGCGUAACAGAGACUAUGGGUUUGACGGAAGUGC